ACACAUACAUGCUGGAGCUGCUGGAGCCAAGGGUCAGAGGUGACAGGGACAAGGCCCUGUGGUCUUCUCUUGAUAAGAGUUCCCAGGAAAGAGUCUAGAACGGAAAUUCAUACCUGCCAAGUGAUAAAAUUUAAUUUUUGUUACCAAGCCUUAUAAUCUUUCUAUAAAUUCCUCAUCAACGACAUUCAAUUCAGUAUAGGUGAGGGGGUCAGAAAGAGCCAUCUUUGAGGACCGGUUUUCUCCUUAAGUCUCUUUGCCCAGGGUGGUCAUCCCAGUGCCUCACCAGGCAUGCAUCAAACAUGUCGGGAUCACCCUACUCCUAGGGACACUGCUUCAAGAGUCAAGUGAAGCAGCUUAGUCCUGCUGCUGCUGCUGCUGCUGCUGCUGCUGCUGCUGUUCCUCCUCCUCCUGCUGCUGCUACUGCUGCUGCUGCCUACUGCGUGCAGUCCUGCAGAGUGGAGAGGCAUUUUGUGACUAUGCGAGACUCUGCUGCUCAGUGGAAGGACAGUAUCUCGAGCUGACUGAGGAGUCAAGGAGGAUGUUCUCAGAAAGCAGAACCUGGUGAAGGGGCGGGGCAUACUUGAAGAAGGACAUUUCCGCUGUCCAAUAGGACUGAAAAUCAGUGAAGACAGGUGGCCGUGGAUGUCUGUGGGAGUUCAAGCACUGAAGGUUUUCAGCCUCGGCGUUUCAGUCACUGUCCCAAGCAAGUAGUGGAGGAGGAGGAGGAGGAGGAGGAGGA